AAUGACCACUAAAAGAAGAAGAAGAAAAAAAAAACAGCCAAACAAUCUACACACCAUCCCUCAACUACCAUUUUUUCCCUUCAAUUAAUAUUUCUUUUGUUUAAAAGUAUUUAUUUACUC
rnacentral:ribozyme from 13 species